rnacentral:rRNA from 1 species
AGUGAACGCUGGCGGUAGGCCUAACACAUGCAAGUCGAACGGCAGCACAGUAAGAGCUUGCUCUUACGGGUGGCGAGUGGCGGACGGGUGAGGAAUACAUCGGAAUCUACUUUUUCGUGGGGGAUAACGUAGGGAAACUUACGCUAAUACCGCAUACGACCUACGUGUGAAAGCAGGGGAUCUUCGGACCUUGCGCGAUUGAAUGAGCCGAUGUCGGAUUAGCUAGUUGGCGGGGUAAAGGCCCACCAAGGCGACGAUCCGUAGCUGGUCUGAGAGGAUGAUCGGCCACACUGGAACUGAGACACGGUCCAGACUCCUACGGGAGGCAGCAGUGGGGAAUAUUGGACAAUGGGCGCAAGCCUGAUCCAGCCAUACCGCGUGGGUGAAGAAGGCCUUCGGGUUGUAAAGCCCUUUUGUUGGGAAAGAAAAGCAGCAGGUUAAUACCCCGAUGUUCUGACGGUACCCAAAGAAUAAGCACCGGCUAACUUCGUG